rnacentral:rRNA from 1 species
UACAGAGGGGGCAAGCGUUGUUCGGAAUUACUGGGCGUAAAGGGCGCGUAGGCGGCCUUCUAAGUCGAACGUGAAAUCCCCGGGCUCAACCCGGGAACUGCGUCCGAUACUGGAAGGCUUGAAUCCGGGAGACGGGAUGCGGAAUUCCUGGUGUAGCGGUGGAAUGCGCAGAUAGUCAGGAGGAACACCGGUGGCGAAGGCGGGUCUCUGGGCCGUAACUGACGCGUGAGACGC